rnacentral:rRNA from 1 species
CCUACGGGUGGCAGCAGUGAGGAAUAUUGCUCAAUGGGCGAAAGUCUGAUGCAGCGACGCCGCGUGAAGGAAGACGUAUCUCGGUGUGUUAAGCUCCAUCUGUAGGGAAGUAAAUGACGGUACCUGAGUAAGAAGCUCCGUCUAAAUACAGUCAAGCACCCCCGGUAAUACGGCUGGAGCCAGCGUUAUCCGGAUUUACUGGGCGUAAAGGGGGCGUAGUCGGCCUGCAAAGUCUGAUGUGAAAUUCCGGGGCUCAACCCCGGGGCUGCAGUGGAAACUGGCAGGCUGGAGUGCCGGAGAGGCAGGCGGAAUGCGUAGUGUAGCGGUGAAAUGCGUAGAUAUUAGGAAGAACACCAGUGGCGAAGGCAGCCUGCUGGACGGUGACUGACGCUGAGGCUCGAAAGCGUGGGGAGCAAACAGGAUUAGAUACCCUUGUAGUC